rnacentral:lncRNA from 1 species
ACAUAUAAAAGGGGUGGCGUGGGGGUGGGGAUGGCGGGACAAUAGCCCAUGAGGGAUUUGGCAGGAGACGUGCAAUAUUUACCGAGAUAGACCAUCCUUGCUGUCAUUUUGUUGGUGGAUUACGAUGGCCGUUUUCCCCGCGUUCCUCCAUUUAUUUAUUUUUCCGAUGGCGGGGGGGACGCGUUGGCACGCCGCUGCUUUGUGUGCCUUGCUUCACCUAUGAAAAGGACACAUUAAGGUGUUUCCAUAAACCCCUGGAUGACAAAGAGAGCGCCUUUCUGCUCGGCUUGUAGGCAACAAUGACAGAAGCCUUUAAAACCAUGAUUUUCAAACCCCCCCCCCCCCCCCCCCCCCCCCCAAUGAUUGCAGAAGGCUUCCCCUAAAAGGAACUUAAAUACAUAUCAUUAAAUCUAAAGCACUAAGCUCUGCUCCUGCUAACUAUGCCAUGCUUUUUGUUUCUGAUAGUAUUUGUCCAUUGCGGAGCGUGAGCGAAGGAUGCGGAGCCUCCCCCGCCUUCCUCCCUUUGUUUAAAUGACAAAAUGUUUCAGUGUUUUUGUUUAGAAAAUAAACCUUGGUGGGUUGAUUCCCCCCCCUCCCCCCCCCCCCCCCCAGCUUUUUAUUUUUAUUUUGCAUUUAUCUUGGCGUGAAAUCCAGGCUCCUCCUCUUCCCAGAUCUUGGGAAUCCAUGUUCCUCGUGAUCGCUUUUCCCUCCUUUAUCUAAAACACAAUGUGAUUUUAUAGUAUUACUCCGAAAACAUACCAAUAAUAUUUUGAAUUUCAGUAUUUGCGGCUUCAGGAUAUUGCAAUUUUUUUUUUUUUUUUUUUAUAAGCGACGAAUGAAAAGCGAUGAUUUAAGUGUGUAAUGCACAAUACAGAUGCCAUGCAUUGUAAAUACAUUUCAGGGGCAUAAAAUCCAACACACAGAGCCGGUGUUCCACGAAAGCCGGGAGUCCAAAAAUAACUGUAAAAAUGAAUUGUCUGUCAGGAUGAAUCUCUCAGAUCCUAGCCGAUGUUUGUGGGGUUACCGGAUACAACUGGGUUACUUAUUGGCAUAAAUAUCUCAUUUUAAAAUGCUGAUGACAAACUAUAAAAAAAAAAAAGAGGUGAAGGAGGUAUUUGACUGAUUAUUGGAUACCGUGGAUUCCCCGCAUUUAAUUUCAUACUUACAUGCUAUUUGCUUAUCCCAUGUUUAUGGGUAUGCGCUUUAGCUUCGUAUAAAUCUCUCCUGUCUGUCUGUCUCGCCGUGUUCUUUUCUCUCCUGGUAUCCCAUCUGCUUCUCAUGGUCCUUCUCCUGAAACUACAUCGCAGGAUCCGAUGGGGAUAAUGGGAAUCCGCCUCUGGUCUCUAUCAUAAACAUGCCAACGUGGGCUAUUGUGUCAGGAGCCGGCGAUCACCAGAUGGUGCUUGGUUGCCCAGGGUCUGUGUCACUGGGUUUGGUCUCUCUGUAAGCCAACAAGCCCUGUAGUGUUGUAUCCCCCCAAGAUCUACCCACUCUAGUUAGAGACUGUGUAGGGACGUUGGGUGAUGUACCCAGAGAGGAGAUGCUUCUGGGAGCGUUUGGCUCUUUGCAGAUAUGAGCUGAGAUUUGUUAAUUCCUGUGCUCAGCUGUGUUCACCCUGUCUGCAUUCGUGGGUAGGAAAAUUAGCCUGUUUGCUUUUGUAGGACUAAAUGCUGUCCUCAUGCAGGAAAAAAAAAAAAAGGGGGGGGGUCCGUGCCUGCUUGAGCAGACAUCUCCCCUUGCUGUAUGCACCAGGCUUGGGAAGACAGCACAGAGAUACCUCUGUAUCAAUGGGGUGCGGACAAAAUCAAGAUAUCUCCUCUCUCUUGGGCUGCCAGACAGCUCUUGAGCGUUCGCAGAAGGACCCGCUUGUGUGGGUAUUGUGGAGAACAGCUGAGGUGUGGGACUUGCCCCAUGAAAAAAUCCUCAGCGGGUCCAGCCAGGAGAAACUCAGGGCCAAAUCCGGCUCUUCAUUUGGUGCCUGCAUGUCCUCGUGAGGUCCUGGAUGUUGCUGCGCAUGUGAGCUGCAGAGUGGAAAUUAAUGCAGAAAUAAAGAUUGAAAAUAAAAACACUGAACACAGACAGAUGGAGAGAGCCUGGCAUAAUUACAUUUAGUGGAGGGCCGCCAUGAAUGAAACCAAUUAAAGGAGAAGCGAUGCUUGUAUGAGGGAGAGGGGGGGAAGACCUCUCUGUAUCUUCUCAGGCAUCCGCCGUCCGGUGGGGGUGAGUCCCUGAGUCAUGGGCGAGCUUCUGCAUGCUUAGCGGGACUUUGCUUAUCUGCUAGGGUGAAAAAGAAGGAAAUGGGAAAUGUAGGACGCUGGCAGGGCAGGAGCUGGCUUGCAGCCAGCCCCAGCCUCAUGGUCCCCAUUGUCUCAUGGCUUUAAUGCGUGCCUAGAAAUCCAGUAUUUAGGAUUCAGGUUGCCAUUGUAAAGAAGAAAGGUCGUGCUCAGCGCCGCUUGGCGUGGAUUCCUCAGGCAGCUCUUUUGCCUGCGUGCCCUGCGCUGGGGCUGGCUUGGCAGAAAAGCUUGGGUUAGAAGUGUGCGGGCUGCUGCCGCGUGGCCGUGGUGGCUUUGUGCUUUGGGGAGGGUAGAGGAAAAUGUCCAGGAUGCCACACAAGGGGCGAGGCAUCAGGGCAGGUUUGCACAGGCUGAGUGUGCCUUAUGGAUGAGCUUGGCUGAGCACCUAGCAAGCCACACUCGCUUCAGGGCCCCAGAAAUCGCUGCUUUCUAUCCUUCCUCCCCUCUUCUGCCAUCCUGUUCUCUCGGGUGGAUGCCUUCUGGGUAGAACAGCAGCUGGCAAGGCUUGGCCAGAAUGGCUCUCAGGGGCAUUAUCACAAGGCUUGGGAUUUGGGGUGUUUGUUGCAAAAGCACGGCACCUGGAAUCAAGGGCUGCUUGGAAGCUUCAGUCUCGCUUAAAAAUAAUCAAAUGGUGCUAAUGAGAAAUGGGUUUAUGGGCAUCAUUAUUGCAGGGAAAACUCUGGAAACAUAACAAAGACAUGUUUGGGCCUGGAAUUACCAAGCUGAAGAAAGAUUCUCCAAAUCCUUGGGGUUUUUUUUUUUUUUUUAGAGUCAGCCUUAGCAAUUUUGGGUAGUCAUAUUCCUGGUAUUCAAAGCUGGAGGAUGGAAGUGUGGGAUACUUCAUAAUAUCAAACAGGGUGUGAAGGAGAGCCUGACAAAUCCAAGCACUGUGGUUUACACUGGGUUGCAUGGGGGCUGGUUUGGAUCCUGCUACUUGUACCCAUUACUCUUAGGAGUGGUCCAAGCCACUGGGUGUAGGAAAACUCGGAAGCAAAGUUCUGUAGUGUGUGCUUCCGUCUCUGAAAUGUAGUAAUUGGUAAUUGUGGUCCCAGCUGCCCUGUUCUGUAAGGGGCCAAGCAAGGGAUGCCCGUCUGUGUACAUGCCUGUGGAGGUGGUGGAGGCAAGGCUGCACAGGCACACUGCCUUCUUAAAAACUCUCUUUGGACUCAGCACUGUGCUCAGCACCAUGGAAGACUCUGCUUAAGGGCCAGAGGAGAUGCUGUCGCUGUGCUGUCCUCCUGGGGCUGUGCGGGAGCUCCCUGGGUUAAGCAGGCAUGUUCCAUCCAGGUUUCCAUCCAGAGCAGACUCGCAGGGUAACGUGCUCCUUCAGCCCAUUUGUGAUGUGUUGCAUAGGCAUCACCCUCACCCCGGUGGUCACAUGUCUGAAUGUGCUGUCAUCAGUGUGGUUUUAAAUAUAUUCUAAUGCGGAAAUGUACUGGAGCUAACCAAGAUGAAGGAAAGCUGCAGGAACAAGUCAGGACUUGUAUGGGCUGGUCCUGGGGCUUCUGAGGUUCUUUCAGGUCUGGCUUUCAGCUAACAGCACUCACUGCUCAUCUGCAGCAUUUACAGCAGUUCUGGUCCUGCACUGUCCCCAGGCUGGGCUUUUCCCGAUGGGGUGGAGCGGAGUGGAAAUGCAGAGUGCUAAUGAGCGGGUGCUAGGCUGGGACCCAUCGUGUUGCUUGUGAUCAGGCUCAUGGGUGAUGUGGCAGGGCAAUCUGGGAGCUUGGGGAGAAAGUAAAUGGCUCACGUACAUAAGUGCUGGCUGGGGAGCCCAUUAGGGCUUCCCCUGCAGAGGGAAGAUGUUACCUGCAGCUCUCUGUGUUGCUGUACGCUCUGUCUGGUGGGCUCUCACACUUCUGUCUCCUCCCAUCCCAAAUGCCAGAGGUUGAAUGAGUGCCUGUGAUUGUCGCAAGGGCUUAAAGAUGUGGUGACUCUACUCCCUAAUCCACAGCUUGCGACAUGACUUAGGGAAACAAAGGCAUGGGCUGCUUAUCUUCAUUUGUGCAAGGGCUAAUUCGCCUGCCCCGUUUGAGCAUGGGCCAUUCGGAGCUGGCUGCAGAUGCCUGCUGUAUGCGGGAUUCACAUCCGGCCCAUUGCAAAGGCAGAGCCCAGCUGCUGGGAUUGCUGGCACCUCUGCUCAUCCUGGGUCACAGAACGGUGAAUUUUCAGACCUGCAUCCUCUGAUCAGACCCAGUAAGUGUCACGCUGGCAGGCAGAGGGACACGGGGCUGUUCAAACCCUACCCUGUACCCAAUGGGACCAGCGUUAUGGCUAUGCAGAAUUACUCUGCGUUUUCUAGGCCACUUUUGAAAAUGGCUGAAAAUUUGCUUUCCUUAGCCUAAAAACUGAGCUCUCUCGUUGGUUCUGUAAGUGAUGGGCAGGGACUUGAGAUCUCCUGCGACCUGAGAGCCUGAUGAAGUUGGAAACAGCCCAGCAAGGGUGGAAAUGGGUUUUGCAGGUCGUUUUGAACGCAAUCACAUUCACUGCUGUUGUUCCCCUGAUUUGGGCACGGUGGUACCAUCCUCCCUGAUCUCCCCUCUGCUGCCUGAUGUGGGUACCACAGAGGUGCACCAGGGAGAGGGGUUUGGUGGCAGAGGGGACCUCAGGCUCCGGGGAGAAGGGGCAUCUCUGCUGACCACCGCUUGCUUUGCCAUCCAGCCCCGGGGAGGGGGAGGCUGCGUGACAGCGCGGUGGAUGCUCUCGGCAGGUCUCCUGCCUGCGGAGCCAGCGGUGACACUUUGCUGACAUGAACAGAGAGGAGAUGCUGGCGUGAGAUCCUGGUCACGUCAGCUGGGAUCAGGUACCAGGCCUGGCCAUGGCCGCCAGCAGCUGCCCUGAGUGCUGGUGAACAUGAUCCGGAGCCAAUCUCAGGGUGUUUGCUGCAUGCCUGCAGCAAGGUGCUGUCCUAAAGCUCUCUGCAGCUCUCUGCAAAUGCUGCUGGAGGGAUACCAGCGUGGAUGUGCUGGGCUUGCAGUCAGAUGACGGGUGCCAUCUUUGCAGGGUGCAGGCACAAAUGUUUCGGGAGGAUUUUCUUCCCUACGGAUGCUAUUGCUCUCCAGGGAAGAUAGGAAAACGCUGGUCCUGAAGGGAUGAGCACUGUCUGCACUUUGAUGGCAGAUGUCCCGGGAACUGUAAGGAAAAAAAGACACCCACUGAUUUUUUCAUUUCUCCCCGUUUCUGUCUGCCUAUCAGCCUGUCAGCUCGCUAGAUGCUAAUCCACAGCAGCAGCAGCACAAAUAAAGCUAGACUGGAGGGAUGCUAAUUUAUGCCUGGAUUUCAUGCUUUGUUUUACUUCCACACUUUAUUGGACGGAGUAGGCUUUGUGAGUGACGUAAAAUGUCGUGUGCGCUCUCCCCGUGGCAGGUUCCUGCACAUGCAGCAGGAGAAGUUCAUCUCUCUGUAUCGCUGCAGCUUUGCACGUGGCCUUCUCUGUCUCCCCGGGUAUUUUUUUUGGGGUGGGGGGGGGGGGGUUGCUUCUGCUGAGCUCCCAUGUGAUGAGGAACUCAUUCUAAAUUUUGUCGUGCUGCACUGAAAGCCAGGGAUGUAUUUCCAGUCUCAUCUCGCCUUCUCUGAUGGUGCCAGCAUUUAUGCAUCUAAACUGUAAUUUUUUACGCUCUAACUGGGGAACCAGACUACAGCCUCUGCAAUUUGCAUGAAUAAAUGUCAUGUAAAACCAUCUGCUCAUGGACAGUGACCAGCUGAAAAGUUAUGCUGGGAGGCAAUCCGUUCGGGAGCGAUCGGCAGAUCUAUUUAAUGAGAUGUUGAGAUUUACACGUCUCCAUGUCUGAGAGAAGGAGCGUGGGUAGAUGGAUUUAAAGGCAGGGAUAGAUAGAUUUAAGGUCACAGAAGCACUCGGAGCCUGCCAAGUCCGUCCUGCAGUGAAAGUGACCCUACCUGGGUGGUGAGGGCAGGGGAGGAGGUCUGCCAGCACUUGGAAAGGCACUGUCUUAGAAAAAGGUGAAACGUAGAGUAUGUUCAACUCAACGUUAAUAAUGAAGGGUCUUGUGUAGCUUCUUGCAAGGCUAUUGCGUGGGAUCCACUCUGUGACCCUUGGGGUCUUUGAAGGGAAGGAUCAGCUCACAUAGACGUGUGCUGAAGGAUCCUGAGGUCUUCAGCCCCCAUUAGAGGUAAAGGGAAGGAGAUGCCCACAUCUCACUGUUGGCGUGCUUAGAAGGUUGGUGCUGACCUUCCCUUCAGCCAAGACUUUGUGAGCCACGUGGCAAAUCAGUGGGUAAGGAAGGAACAGCCAGGAGAGAGCUGGUGAAGUCUUUGAAAUGGCCACGUUGGCUGGGAUCUACCAACCCGUUUUUGUGCUCAACUCCUUCGGAGCAAGGCAGGGAGGAGGGCCCAGAGGUGGCUCUUGUAGCAGGCUCUGCUCUCAGCCGUGCUGGGUUCAGUCCUAAGUGAGGAUUUAAUUGCAUUCAGUAAAAUCUGCCCAAAUUUACAGCACGGAAAUGAGAGCAGAAUUGCAAGUGUCCUUGUUUCUCAGUGCCGUCAAAUAGCUUUUCUCAGCCUUGAGUCCUGGCAAGCUAAUCUCUGUAGAGUUUUAUUUCAUAUGGUGUCUGCAUUGCCCUAUUAAAACCACAGCUCUGUUCCCAAUUCUGUACAUGUCAAGUGCGUAUCCGUGUGUAUUGGAGCAGAGGGAUGUGGCAAUAAAACUGUUCAUGACUACUUGUUUGGAUAAAAAGCACAGAUUUGCUUACUUGGCAGUAGCUUCCCCUUUUUAGCAGAAAUAUUUGCACAGCGACUUUCAUUUUGUCACAGCGGCCAUGGGAAGGAUGCUGCACUGCCACUCACGUUCCUGGGUUUGUGUGUGUGGUUUUGCUGAGGUUUGUUGGUAGCGAUGUCCAGAAAUCUCCUGCGGCAAACAAAAGAGCUCCAGGCGGUGGUUUGGCUGCAGGAGCCGCGUGAUGGGAGCUGGGCUUCCUCCAGCCCCCAGACCUCUGCCGCAGCGAGGCAGGGCUCUGUCGGGUUUGCAUCACAGCUUGUCUCCUUUCUGACUAAGCUGACGGACAGGAAUAGCUUCUUACUCCUAAGGUGCAUCUGGUUCUGGAGGCGGACGUGGGUUGUGGCAUUUGUGUUGGCAGCUUGUGCCGUGCUGCUCAGCGAGGCUCUCUUUGGGCUGCUGUCUGCUGGGAUGGGAGGGGGAACCUGUGAGCUGCACCGCACGAGAGCAUCAUAGGUGUACGGAGGUGUUCGCCUUUGUGCGGGUCUCGGAGGUCUCUUUGUUUUGUCUCCCUCCGAGUACCUUGUGCAGAUGCAUUUGCAUAUAUGGAAAACGUUGUCAUCAUCUCCUCCCCCUUCCCCGGCUCACGCCGCUCUGCCGACUCGUGGGCAUUUCCAGCUGAACGAUGCUGCCGAGCCCAGCCAAGCAUGUGGGGCUGGGGGCUAAGCCCUGUCUGCUGCUUCCUUCCCCAGAGGGCGGUGGGGCGGUUGGGGGGCGGUCGGGACAUCAGGGGCGGUUUUUCUUAAUUUUCUCUGACUCGCCGUAGGAAGGUGGUCGGGUCCCGAAGGGGGGCUGUUCCCUCAGCCCCCAGCCCUGACCCCCUCUGCUCCCUCCCUCCAUUCUCACGCUGGCAGCGGCACUGCAGAAAGCAUCCAAACCGCUCUGCCAGUCUAAUCCAAGUUCAAACCAUUUGCGUCCCUAUCCAGAAAGCCUGGGAGCGGUCCCCUGGCAAAUCCCUCGCUCCACCGGCCGCCAUUCACCCCCACAAAGACGUCCCGUACAGGACAUAUUCAGUCCCUAAUCCUCUCUAAGGUGCUGCAGGCUCUUCUCUUCCCAAACCCACACCUGCUCCGGGAACUCGAACACUCCGAGGUUCGUCUCCGUGCUCCGCGGCCUCUACGGGGACAGGCUGGGCCAUCGGAGAAAGGGGGUGGAGGAGAGCUGGGGCAGCUGCGGGGCUUGUGUUAGUAAACACUUCCUUGGGUUCACAUUUUAAUUCCUUGCCCCCCUCCCCAUCUUCUCCCCCAUCCUUUCCCUUUUCUGUACGCUCACACAAUGAGACCAUUGUCAAGGGGUGAUUUGAAUGAGGGGUCUCCGGGCAUGUUCCCAGCAUUGUCAAACAGAGUGGGAAAAAAACCACAACUCCAGCCCAGCCAGGAGGACCGGACCAGACUGAGACAGAUGCCUAAAUUAGUGACAAAGCCUUUUGAAUGUCCCCCCUAGACAAGGGUUGCCUUGUGCGUGUGUGCGUGUGUGUGUGCAUGCUCGUGGGUGUGUAUUUGUGGCUGGGUGGCAGCUUGCAUGUCUCCCCAUGUUAAUUAGUUUUGCAUGCAUGUCUGAUAAGGUGCCAAUGAAUAUAUUUGUCCUUCCAUUGGCGAAAGCUGUCUCGGCAGCAGGGGAGAUGCGGGGCGCUGGGGGUGUGCUCAGAGCAGCCCGGGGUAAUUGAGCUGUGCGGGGCUGGAGGAGAAGGGCUGAGAGCCCGGUGCAUCAGCGGGGCCGGGCUUCCCAGCCAUGGGUCGGCUGCCUUCUUUGCAAAUUGCAGAGAGUUUAAAAGAGAACUGAAGCUUUUUUUUGGUUCACUGGGUCUUUCUGUUCGUCUUUACUGAUUGUCUGGCUGAGGGUCUGUGGGCUCUUUCUUCUCCUUUGCCCUGUGUCUCUCUCUCAAGUCCCUUAAAAGGUGUUUAUUUCCAAUGGGUUUGUAUCCAUCUUUGUAUGUACACAUACACAUGCAAUCACUCACACAAAGCCCCAACAACAAAACCUCAGCCUGCUUCUCCAGCGAGGCAGCCGGAUCCACUGCCAGCUACAAAGCAUGGGAAGGAGCGGAGCUGGGGUGUGCAGGGCAUGGAGCAGUGGGAACAGGAGCUGGAGAGACAAAGGGAGCGGUGCUACCGAGGAUUUAUCAGCAUUUGUUCAGAACAGAGUUAUUAAUUGCAAAGAUAAAAGUCUUUCCACUUCCCCAGCAUAUGGACCGGCACGUAGUGUCAUUCCUAGAGUGCAUCCAUCCGUCCGUCCGUCCGUCUGUCCAUCCAUGCACCCACCCACCUGCAUUCUUCAGAUUCACGCAAGAAUCUAUAGGAUGUAGGGAUGUUAACACCCAUUCACGUCUGCUUAAUUAUUUUUUUGCAUCUUUCCACUUAAACCAACGAGACUCAAGAGCCAACAUACGUUUAUUGAGCAAGAAGCUCUAGAAUGGCCAGAGAUGCCUUCCCUCCCCGUGCCCCCCUCUGCUGCUGAGCAGCUGCUGUGCUGAAAGAGCAGGGAAUUACAUGGCUGAGCAGCGAUUGCCACAGGGCUGCUCUGAAGCGAAGGUCAUUUGGGGAAGUUUUGCUGCAUGCAGGGUUUGGUGGCUUUGCUUUCUCUUCUAUGCUGGGUUCCCUGCAUGGGUGCUGGGGGUGUGGAGAGCAGCGGGGCUGGUUCUGGUUGGGAGAUGGCUUGGUUGGAGCAGCAGAGCAUAGGGCAAGUACCUCAAAUCAAAGAAUCGUAGACUAGCCCGAGUAGGAAGGGGCCCAUAAGGAUCAUCGAGGCCUCCCUGCUGUUGGAGCAAUAGGCACGGUGGGCAACUCAAAGCACUCAUGGGGAGCGUGCAGGAAAAAAGGACCCCCAAGAAACGCAGGUUGGAGAACAAAGGCAAUUUCGUGUGGCUUAUCAGCAGUGCCUAAUUGCGCAGGGUGAAUAAUGAGCAGUGGGGGAGGCAGCUCUGCUGUCCUCCUGACAGGCUGCAGCCCGUGUCUGGAGAGCCCGAGUCAGUGCCAGCACGUGGUGGGGGUCCUCAGAGAGGGCCAGCCCCAUCCUCUGCAUCUGUGCCCCUUUCAGAGCUGCUGGGCUCCUCUGUCGCAAAGCCUUUGUGUUAACCCCACAUCGUAGAAUCGUAGGAUCGUGGAAUCAUGGAAUCACAGAAUGGCUUGGGUUGGAGGGGACUUUAAAGAUCAUCCAGUUCCAAGCCCCUGCAGUGGGCAGGGUUGCCAGUCACUGUAAACCAAAGGGGGAUGUGCCAUUGGAAGAGGUCACUAUGCGAGUGCUUGGACCUGUCGUUGGCUCGUGGGGUGCGCGCGUUAUCCACAGCUGACCCUGGUGCAACACGGCCUUUAAUCAGAAGAACUGGGAAAUGGCCCACAGGCCCUCUGCAGACCCCUCCAGUCCAUCUCCCACCCCUCCGCCCCACUCCAUGCAUCCCACCGCUCCCUCAUUCUGCUCCCAACCCCACGCAGGGCCAUGGAAACCGCUUUGUCAGAGCUCCGUGCCAGCCCGAUCUGCAGAAGGGCUUUUUUUUUCCCCUGUUGGGAUGACUAUUCCCACACAAGCAAAGCCUCUUAAUGAAUCCGUGGCAGCAAAGUAGGUGAGGCGCUCGCCCUGCCAAGGCUGCUUGGCACGGCUGGAGUCACGUAAUCACGCUCAGCUGCCAGCGGGGACAGAGCAGGAAGAGUUAACGUGGGGACAGCGUGGGGACAACUAAUCCCAGCAGGACGGGUGGCACAGACCUGUCCUUCCUCACCUCCCCCUCACCGCAGCCCACCUCUUCCUCUCCCACCUCCUCCCUUCACUCAUUUCUCCCAUCUCCAUCACAUUGUCACUCCUCCCCCGGCCCCUCCCGUGCCCCGCUCUCUCCAUCCAGCACGUUCCCCUCCCGCACUCUCCGAGUGGGAGCGAGGGGCCGUGCGUUUGGGCUGCGGUGGAGGUCACAGCUAUAUGGGGAUUGUUUAAAAGAGAUUUGCCCACAUCCCAGCCCAUGUGACCAGCCUCAGCUGCAGGUCUCUCUUUCUUAAUCUGGAGAUAAGCGUGAUUAUCCGAAGAAGGGCUGUUCGGAGCUUUGUAACUGUGACAGGGGAGCUUUCAAGUCGCACUUUGCUGGCAGAGCAGCGUUUAAAGCCGGGGAAUCAGAUUCCAAGCGUGGCUUUGCAUCUCUUUGCUGCUGGGAGCAUGGCGCGGGGCUGGCAGCAGGGAUGGGAGCUUUAUUAGGACUUUGCUUAUGAUGCGGAAAAGGAACCGGGGGAGGGAAAUGAGGGGAAAAAAAAUCCCAAUUCACCGUUUCCCGAUCGGUGGUGGAAUUACAGCAAUGCUCUGCUUCCAGGAGGGCGGUGGGGUCCCAUUGGCCUCACGUCUGGGGAGCAGUUCAGUGGCCAGGAGGUUCUGCUGCUUUCGGUGCCAUGCAGCGCGGGCAUGUUGUGUCUCUCUGCUCUGAGUCCCCAUCCUCGUUGCACAAGAGGUCCCCUGGGUCCUGUUUGGAAAUGAAAUGCUUGUGGCAGCUGGGGAUGCUGUGCCUGGCUGUCCCCAGGACCCCAUUCACAUCAAGGCUUGCUGGAGGUGCGUCUUGGUGGGAUGCGGGGAUGUGGCAAUCGUGUGGUUUCAUGUUGUGUCUUGCCAUCUCAUACCAUGGGCACAGCCCCCAAAGGCUUCUUGCGCCAGGACAGGCAUCAAAAUAGGGUUUAGUGGAAAUGUUCCGCCGUAGAGCAGGCGCUUCUCUGCUUCUAUUUGUAGAAUAAAAACUCCAAGCAGAGACUCAUCACUGCGUCUCUUUUGAUGGAGAUGGGUCAAGGAGAAAGAAACCUGGAUCUAAGCCAGGGGCUGGAAUCUGGGUCGAGGCUGAAUGAGGACUGAGUGCCAGCAGUGCUCCGUCCCGUCACUCGGGCAGCACUCACUGUUCUUGCUGUAUCCUCCUUGGAAGGGGUUCAGCUUCAGGCCAGCCUGAUCCAAAGGGCACCUGAACAAUUCCCUCCUGCUCACAGCCGCUCAUUGCUAGAGCUAGUGUGAAUCUGCAGCCCCUUCUCCUGGGUUUAUUUGAGGGGAGCGGUUUCUUGCUUGUGUCUCGUGAUACAGAAGGAGAUCAGAUGUCCUUCUCUCUUUUCCAUGAAGGCACAUCCUCUCUUUGCAUACCUUGGCCAUGGUGGGCGUCCAGCCCUAAAGCAGCCCAGGUGAGAAGUGGGGCAGGACGCAUACAGGGGUGGAGAUGUGGGUCCGUGGGGCUGGCGGCUCACUGUCCAUCCAGCAGUUGCAGGAGGGAAGUGGUUGCAAAUACAUCAUCUUGAGCGUGAGCUCUGCGCUGUCUCCUACAUGGUCUGCUGUCCCUGGAGCCCCACACAGCUGGUCUGUGGGAGGGAGCUCUGUUUUCCUUGUACCCCUGUGAACUUGAUUUUUUGUUAUUUUUCUCUGCGUGCCGCUUACAUGAAUCCUCUUCAGUGCCUACAGCUUAUUCUGUGGCUUUACCGAGGAUCUGGCCAACAUAUGUAGCCUCCCUCCAGGGCACGGCUCUUUGAGAAGCUCCAAGCUGGACACAGCAUGUUUUCCCAGUGGCUGCGGGGCUGAGCAGCCCAAAUCCCGCAUUGCACAGAUCCUACACGUGUCCUGGGUGGGGGAGAAGCAGAACUCCCCCCACUCCUGGCAGCCUGGGAGCAGCAGAGGGAACGUGGGCAGGAGCACGGAGGUGUUGGCGGGUGCGGGUAGGAACACACGUGUGCUGGGACAGCCGUGCCCAUCUGCACCAGCACGGUCACACGUGUGCCUGCGUGGCAGACCGUCCCCAUGCCCCUCACCUGCCUGAAUCUGUGGGGUACAGGGGGAGAAUGGAGGCAUCCCUUUUAAGAGCCUUUUAAAUGGAAUUGGAUCUCUAAGAGAAAGGGUUGAAUUGAUUGCAAGGGUUGAUUGAUCUGCUGGAUGUUUCUGCCAGCUUUCCGGGCAUGCACAGGCUCAGAAUUGCCAAGGUGGGAAGGAAUUGACAAGCACUGCUGUGUCAAAGCAGGACAUAAAGAACUAGAAGCCACGUCCCCAGCUCGCCCCAGCCUGGCACUGGGAAACAUCUCCAUUCUGCAACCCGCCGGGGCUAGCUCUUCACCAGCACUGACUUUGCCUCCUCCUAUUUGCACAUCCCCAGCACAUUUCUGUCUUGCCCUGACAGUGGGAUGGGAUGGCCAGGGACAGACAGACAGCAGAGCCCAGGCACACCAGGACCCGAGCAGCCCUGUGUGGAGAGCUUCUUAUGGGCUGAGGGUGGAUGGAGGGAUGUGAGGUGGGGUGAUGCUGCAUAGAGCAGGGCAGGUGGGUCUCGAUGGAAGCGACUGAGAGAUUUGAGAGGUGUGAACAGGAUGGAGGGGACCAAGCUGGGGCUGCAGAGGGUGGUUCCCAAAGGUGAGCUGAGGCCAGCAGCCAGAGCAGGGUUUGGCAGAGAGCAAGGGGAGCUGUGGAGGAGUGUGGUCAUGCCAUGAGGAGUGCGAGAGCUGCUGCAGGGCUGCAGGAGGUGCUGACACAGGAGUGACACACAGCUGUGUCACCUGAGUGUCCCCUGUCAUGGCGUGGGGCAGUUCCAGGCUUUGCUUUGUUGCUGUUGCUCAGAGCCAUUUGCUACAAAGCCCUCAGCACCUCGGUGCAUGAGUCUACUUUUAGUGACGCAUAAAAACCAAAAGAUUUGACAAAAAAUAUAUAUAUAUAUAUAACUUUUUUUUACUCUUGCCACCUCAUUGCCAUAGUAACAGAGGUCCUGAGGACACCUCCAUGAAGUAGGUCACCGCAGACCCCUGUUUGCUGCUGCUCACAGCCAGCACUGGGCAUCCCCAAUGGUGCGAGCAUGGCUGGGCCGGAGAGGUACCCUGCAGUGGGGUACCCCAUGGCCAUGCCCUGGUGAGGACACCGUGACAUCACCCAGGUGCCAUCGAGGGCCGUCCCACGCCCGGACACCGAUCGUGGGAAACUGCCGUCCCUCCUGUUGGUGUCCCCAAGUCAGGGCUCCCUCCCAUCCCCCUCUGCCUCCCUCCCCCCUUUCACUGGAGCCUCUCUCCUCCUGAUUUGCAUAAUUUUCCAUUUUCAGUGUCCCCUUUUCUUUUUCUCCUCUCCAUAUGGUGCGUCCCCCUCUCUGCCUGGUGCAGGAGCCCUCCUUAACAAGCUCAGCAAAGCCCUCUCUCUCAGGGGCUGCACAUGAAAGAUGCUCUGUAAAAACAGAGGCCGGCAAGGAGCCCUCCCCCUCUCCCCCUUGAUUUAUAAGGGGCCGGGAUGUGGGAACGUUCCUGGGUCGUGCUUUGGAGCCGUCGGGUGUUUGCAGCCGUCUGCAGUGCCUGUUUGCUCCAUCCAUUCAGUGCAGACCCCUACGGCUGGCGCUCCCCGCGUCUUUCAUCUGCAAUGCAAAAAGAGUGGUGGGGAAAGUUGGUGCCUCUCCUGCGUGUCCCAGGCUUUGCUUUCAGCUGCUGAGGGAUGCUCUGUGCCUGCUGCGCCGGGGUUGGGCUGCGCCCUUGCUGCUGCUGCUUCCCCACCUGGGACACAGGUGACGAAAGUGGCACAAAUGAAACAAGUGACACCGGUGGCACGCGUGGCACGAGUGACACGGCUGGCACAAGCUCCACGAUCAAGCAGCGUUCGCCAUUCGUUCACCAUUCAUCAUCUUCUCCAUCCCAGCCUGGGCUUUCCCACCACCCCGCGGAGCUCCAUCCCCAGCAGCCCCACGGCAGUGUCUGUGUACAAACCCCACUGCCACCCCACUGCCACCCACAGGGAUCCCACCAGUGCCGUGCUGCCGGGCAGAGGGUGCCAGCCCAGCAUUUGACGGGUUAAGCCGGUCUCCAGCUAAUUUCUCCCAGCGCUCCCCUCCUCCUCACGCUUCUGUAUGCAGCAGGCAGGGCCUCCGCGCAGGUUCCUGCACUGAGCUGUUGCCAGGGGAGUAGUUAGGCGAGUCUGAGCUAUGCGGGGAAAAGGCCCGGGCUGUCAAAGUGUCUGAGAUGAACCAUAGCCCGGUCCCCCUGCAGCUGGGCCCAAGCAUGCAUCAGCCCUUGUUUGGAGCCUGGGAAUGGCAAAGCCCAGGGAGGUUCAAGGGCAAACUUGCUAUUCAUUAGUCAGGGGUCCUUGACGUUCCCACUCUCUGUCUCCCUUCUUCUUCUUCUUCUCUUUUCUGUCCCUCUUUUGACAGAUUCCUGGGUGCUUUGGGGGAAAGCUCCCCUCCUCCUCCUCCUCCUCGCCCCGCCAAAAGCCCUCCCCAUAAAAUUCCCUGCAGACAGGCGGGGGGACAACAAUGACGGCACCGAGAGCCGCAUCCCGCGGGCAUCCUCUGCCCCCCGGUGCCGUGCACGAUGCACUCUCUCCACGCGAGCUGCACAUCUCCCAUGUUUUAUCACUGUGAUGCUCACAGGAAAUUGUAACUUGAGAUAAGAAAAUGUCAGCAGCAUUCUCCUCUCACUGAGCCCAAAGCGCCAUGAAGUUCCUCUAUAGGAAAUGCAACCACGUGCCCAGGCCCCUGGAGCAGAACGGAGGUGUAAUGCUGAGGAGCUGCAGGGCAGAGCACAGCUUUGGUCACUUUGGAGUUGGAGAUCUUGAGCCGGGGAGGAGAUCCCAGUGAGGGGAGAAGGGAUGUCCCCAGCCUGACAGCUCCUUCCUGGCUGCGCUCUGCCCGCUCUCUGCCCGAUGUCUCCGGGAUUCUCCAGGAGGGACCCAACCUGCCGUGGCCCCAGCAAGAGGCAGCAUUGGCUGCUGGACGUGGAGGGGUUCUGCAUUGCUUCGCACCUGUGGGGAGGGAGCCAGGGGAUGGGGAGCCUGGCAAAAAUCCCGUGUAACUCCUGUAUGUCACCUCCAGGACCCAAAUACCCCUGGGCAGAGAGGUGUGAGCACCGUCCCAGCUGGGUGUGGGGAUGUUGGUGGGAGCAGGAGGGAGGUCUGAGUGGGAUGGAUGCCAUGUUAAGGGGCUCUGCUCAUGGAGCAGAGCUUGGCCUACGCUGUGCGUGUGUGCGUGAUGGACUGAGCGUGGGCUGACCACGCCUGGUCCAGGCGGUGUUCCAUUGCACUGUAAGAAAAAAGCACUGUAAUUCCUCCCUAAUUAAAAUCAACCCCACCCCGUGCACUGUUGCAAAUAAACACUCCUUUCUGCAAAAGCGAG